UGGGGAAUUUUGCACAAUGGGGGAAACCCUGAUGCAGCGACGCCGCGUGAUUUAGAAGGCCUUCGGGUUGUAAAAAUCUUUUGUAUGGGAAGAAAAUGACAGUACCAUACGAAAAGGACCGGCUAAUUACGUGCCAGCAGCCGCGGUAAUACGUAAGGUCCGAGCGUUGUCCGGAAUCAUUGGGCGUAAAGGGUACGUAGGCGGAUAAGCAAGUUAGAAGUGAAAUCCUAUAGCUCAACUAUAGUAAGCUUUUAAAACUGCUCAUCUUGAGGUAUGGAAGGGAAAGUGGAAUUCCUAGUGUAGCGGUGAAAUGCGCAGAUAUUAGGAGGAAUACCGGUGGCGAAGGCGACUUUCUGGCCAUAUACUGACGCUGAGGUACGAAAGCGUGGGUAGCAAACAGG
rnacentral:rRNA from 1 species